rnacentral:rRNA from 1 species
AGAGUUUGAUCCUGGCUCAGAACGAACGCUGGCGGCGUGCCUAACACAUGCAAGUCGAGCGAGAAAGUUCCUUCGGGAACGAGUACAGCGGCGCACGGGUGAGUAACACGUAGGUAACCUACCCUCGAGCCCGGAAUAACCCGUCGAAAGAUGGGCUAAUACCGGAUGGGACCACGGUGGUCACGGCCACCGCGGUGAAAGAUGGCCUCUGUUCACAAGCUAUUACUCGAGGAUGGGCCUGCGCGCCAUUAGCUAGUUGGUGAGGUAACGGCCCACCAAGGCGAUGAUGGCUAGCUGGUCUGAGAGGAUGACCAGCCACACUGGGACUGACACACGGCCCAGACUCCUACGGGAGGCAGCAGUGGGGGAUAUUGCGCAAUGGGCGAAAGCCUGACGCAGCGACGCCGCGUGGGUGAUGAAGGCCUUCGGGUCGUAAAGCCCUGUCGAGGGGGACGAAUCAGCCUGGCCCUAAUAUGGUCGGGCCCUGACGGUACCCCUAAAGGAAGCACCGGCUAACUCCGUGCCAGCAGCCGCGGUAAUACGGAGGGUGCAAGCGUUGUUCGGAAUCACUGGGCGUAAAGGGCGUGUAGGCGGUCCGCUAAGUCUGAUGUGAAAGCCCGAGGCUUACCCUCGGAAGUGCAUUGGAGACUGGCGGACUAGAGUCCCGGAGAGGAGGGUGGAAUUCCUGGUGUAGCGGUGAAAUGCGUAGAUAUCAGGAGGAACACCGGUGGCGAAGGCGGCCCUCUGGACGGUGACUGACGCUGAGACGCGAAAGCGUGGGGAGCAAACAGGAUUAGAUACCCUGGUAGUCCACGCUGUAAACGAUGAGCACUAGGUGUCGCGGGUAUUGACCCCUGCGGUGCCGACGCUAACGCAUUAAGUGCUCCGCCUGGGGAGUACGGUCGCAAGAUUAAAACUCAAAGGAAUUGACGG